ensembl:lncRNA
CAUAGAGACCCAUAGAGACCCCAUAGAGACACGGCACUGCGGGGGGCACAGCGGGUAUGGGGGGGCUGCGGGACAAUAGGGUGCAUAGAGACCCCAUAGAGAGCCCAGAAAGACCCCAUAGAGAGCACAUAGAGAGCCCAUAGGGACCCCAUACGGACCCAUAGAGAGCCCAUAGAGAGCCAUAGAGAGCCCAUAGAGAGCCAUAGAGAACCAAUAGGGACCCAUAGAGAGCCAUAGAGAGCCCAUAGAGACCUCAUAGGGACCCCAUAGGGACCCAUAGAGAGCCAUAGAGAGCCCAUAGAGAGCCAUAGAGAACCAAUAGAGAGCCCAUAGAGAGCCAUAGAGACCUCAUAGGGACCCCAUAGAGGCCCAUAGAGAGCCCAUAGGGACACCAUAGGGACCCACAGAGUACAUAGAGACCCAUAGAGACCCCAUAGAGACACGGCACUGCGGGGGGCACAGCGGGUAUGGGGGGGCUGCGGGACAAUAGGGUGCAUAGAGACCCCAUAGAGAGCCCAUAAAGACCCCAUAGAGAGCACAUAGAGAGCCCAUAGGGACCCAUAGGGACACAUAGAGAGCCCAUAGAGAGCCAUAGAGAGCACAUAGAGAGCCAUAGAGAACCAAUAGGGACCCAUAGAGAGCCAUACAGAGCCAUAGAGACCCAUAGAGACCCCAUAGAGACACGGCACUGCGGGGGGCACAGCGGGUAUGGGGGGGCUGCGGGACCGUUGGGGACAUAGAGACCCCAUAGAGAACCCAUAAAGACCCCAUAGAGAGCACAUAGAGAGCCCAUAGGGACCCAUAGGGACCCAUAGAGAGCCCAUAGAGAGCCAUAGAGAGCCAUAGAGAGCACAUAGAGAACCAAUAGGGACCCAUAGAGAGCCAUAGAGAGCCCAUAGAGACCUCAUAGGGACCCCAUAGGGACCCAUAGAAGAGCCCAUAGGGACCCAUAGAGAGCCAUAGAGAGCCCAUAGAGAGCCAUAGAGAGCCAUAGAGACCCAUACGGACCCCAUAGAGAGCACAUAGAGAGCCAUAGAGAGCCAUAGACAGCCCAUAGAGAACCAAUAGGGACCCAUAGAGAGCGAUAGAGAGACAUAGAGUACAUAGAGACCCCAUAGGGACGCAUAGAGUACAUAGAGACCCCAAAGAGAACCCAUAAAGACCCCAUAGAGAGCACAUAGAGAGCCCAUAGAGAGCCAUAGAGACCUCAUAGGGACCCCAUAGAGGCGUCAUAGGGACCCAGAGAGUACAUAGAGACCCAUAGAGACCCCAUAGAGACCCAUAGAGACACGGCACUGCGGGGGGCACAGCGGGUAUGGGGGGGCUGCGGGACAAUAGG